rnacentral:lncRNA from 1 species
CUUAAGUACCCAGAUUUUCUUAUGCAGGAAAGAAACAUGAAGUAAGAUUUAAGCCUUGAAAGUAUCAUAAAUAUAUCAUUCUUCAAAUUGAUUGUGAUGAAAGGAAAUAGGAUUCUUUCUCCUUAGAAUUUUCACUGAUCUAUAAUGGGAUCAAAAAAGUAGAAAAAUCAGUCUGCAGAAUGAAAACAGAUUAAUGAAAUAGCUAGAAAGGAGGGGAGAGCAUUUGUUUAGUUAAAUGUUAAGGUAACUUGAAAAUUGUCUAUGAAAUGCUAAAACUGUACCAGAGCCUUAUUGCACACUCAACAUUUUAAGCCUGGGAGCAGGGGAAGGUGGGAAAAGGUUGGAGUGAUAGAAGUGUUUGCCUUAUGAUCUCUUGACUCCUUUUACACAAGAAGCAGAUUGGUAGAGCUUAAGCAGGUGUCUGUGCUGUGGUGCUGGCUCUGCCAAAAACUCUCAUAUGCCCUAGGAAAGUUCCUUUAACUUCUCUGAGCCCGAGUUUAUCUGUAAAGUGAAGACUUUUUAAAUUUAGUAAUCUGUAUGUCUCAUCUCUGAGAAUUCUAUAAUGUUUUCACAUUGUUAUAUGUGUAUAUGUACAUGUUGCUCCCCUCUAGUCACUAAGAUGCCACAUAUUUCUACUUGAGUGAACAGAUUGCAAGUCCAAAUGUUCUUGUUUCUAAUACUAAUAAUUGAUCUCAGCAAGACAUAAAAAAGUAAAAAAAAAAGUAAUCUUACCUUUUAUUUUGACCUUGGCUUUAAAUUAUUAUGAUUUAUCAUUUCAUCUUUGAAUGCUGAGUGAAUUACCUAAACAGAAUGUCUGUUCCAGUUAAUCUUCUCUUUAAAUUUUUGUAGUUUAAUAAACAUGUAACAAAUCAGAAGCAAGUAUAUCAUGCUUAUCGAUGAACUGUAGCAGAUUGUAAUGGUGCAUUUUUGUCACAUUAAAAAGUUAAUGUCCUUUUGGUCCCAGAAGCAAUUACUAUAAUUUAAAAUAAUAUUCACAAAAUUUUGUGAAUGUUUUUGAAUACAAAGGAGGCCUAAUACAGCCAUAUUGUAGUUCAUUUUGCUCAGGAGUGAGAAACAAAAUUCAGGGAUAACCCAAACAUGUCUGUUUGGCAAUAGUGGAUAGUUAGGUAAAGAAGGGUUAUAGCUUUUGCACAUCACAGAUAAGAGGCGACUAUACCUAUUGAAAAACAGCAGUAUAUUCUGGUUCUUGGUUUUAUGAUGGAAAGAUAUUAGAAUGAUACUAAAAUUUGGAUGCUUGGGAAAUUGAAUAAUACAGAAAUAUUUUGUCAUACUGAGAUUAUUUGUCCAGAAGUUUAGUCUUAUAUCCCUUCCAUUCAGAAAAGGGGGCAGUUUUUAAAGGCCUCUGUCAUAAAAGGAAAUGUAUAUUUUGACUAGUGGAGCAAUUAGUUAAAACAUUUAAUCUGAUCAUUUUGGUUUUAUGAAUCUGAAUUUUCACUUUAGGUGUAAUUGAGUCGCUUAUGUAUUACUGUGAUCUUUGUGAGAAGUGAUUUCGUCCAUUUUUUUAAAUCUGAUGAAACUUGAUAAAUGGUGAUUCUAGCAUAUUGUGUUAAUACUGUAUCUUACAACAAUUUGUGAACUGACCAUCAUAAACGAAUCAUAGUAGUAUCUCUUCUGGUAAGUUGUUUCUAUAUGUGAUCUCUUAAUGCUGGGUUUGGGGGUGGGGAUGGGGUUAAGUAUUUAGUUUACUUUA